GUGGUCUAGUGGUAAGACACGCUGACUUCAAGUGAAUGGCUCCGGGUUCGAUUCCCGGGAGCUCGCA